rnacentral:rRNA from 1 species
UACGUAGGGGGCAAGCGUUGUCCGGAUUUAUUGGGCGUAAAGAGCGUGUAGGCGGCCAGUCAGGUCCGUUGUGAAAGCUCGAGGCUCAACCUCGAGAUGUCGAUGGAAACCGUCUGGCUAGAGUCCGGAAGAGGAGUGUGGAAUUCCUGGUGUAGCGGUGAAAUGCGCAGAUAUCAGGAAGAACACCUAUGGCGAAGGCAGCACUCUGGGACGGUACUGACGCUGAGACGCGAAAGCGUGGGGAGCGAACAGG